rnacentral:lncRNA from 1 species
CUUUGUCCAUCUUUUAGCUUUUAAAAGAACAAAAGAAAAUUAAACAAGAACAUUUAUUUGUUCUUUUGGGUUUCCCUUUCCAGAGGAGAAACCAGACCCUUUUAGGGUUUCCUCGACCCUCAAACGCCGCCGCUCAGCCUCGCGCCAAGGCUCCGACUGCGACGGAGAUAGCGCCGACUCGACGAAUCCGGCGAGAGAGGUAAGUCCUUCCUCCCUUCUUUAUAUUUUAAAUUAAAAAUAAAUAAAAAAAUAAAAUAAAAAAGAAUGGAAAAAAUGAAAAAAAAUACGAUUCACCUUCGAAAAUCUCUUUCUAAUCUCAGUAUUUUCUCCCUAUUUUUGUAUUUCAGUAUUCUCUCAAUACAAUAUUGGUCCCCCUUUUACAUGAUCUAAAUCGGCCUUUAAAUAGCCGAAAAAAGACAAUAAAAUAAGCAAAAAAAUCUUCUCUUCAAUAUUCGUUGCGUUUUUUACUGUUACUCUGUUAUUGCUGCGUUGUACGUCCCCUUUUUUCGCAGGUUCGGUGGCCGUGGAGUGCGCCCGUACGUGGAGGCGCAACUCGCGCGAAUGGCGGCUACUGUUGCGGAGGGGGUAGUGCGCAGGCUCGCGGCGGCUGGAGAGGGUUUCAGCAAAUUGAUUUCGCUGGGCUAGGGUUUGAGAAUUGGCUGUUGGGCCUGUUAUUAGGCCUGCUAGUGUUGGACUGUUUAUUUUUUGUUUGGGUUUAUUAUGUGGGCCUGGGCAUUAUUGGGCUUGUACAAUAUAUAUAUGAAAUUAGUGUAAAGAGAGGCAAUUUCAUUUUCUCCAACUGGCCAAAACAAAGAAAUAAAAGGGAAGACAUUUGUAACAGUCCAAUUUUUAGUGGCAUCGAAAAAGGCGAUUUUGGAGCCUCAUUUUUGUAAAUCGGGUCCAUAAAUAUUUACGAAAUUAGUAUAAAAGUAUAUUGAUGUUUGACCCACCAAUCUUUUAUAUUAAUAGUUAAUUUAGGUGUAGGGAUUAGAUUGUAAAAGUCCAAUUACUAUAGGUUUUUAAUUGGCCAAAGACUUAGGGACUUAAAUUUUAAAUAACUAAAGGUUCAAAAUGGUAAUUAAAUAAUUUUGUAACAUGAAUUAGUGUUUGAUGAUGGAAGAUUCCACUAAUUUCUAAUUAAUGAUUAGUUAAGCUAGUUAAAACAUGAUUAGUUUAAUUAAACAAAGUUAAUUAAGUAUUAAACAUGGUAUAAAAGAGAAAAUUAGUGGAGUUGUCAUCACUUUAAUCUUUUUUAC